CUUUGGAGAGGUGUCUGCCACGCUUGGGGGUCACCCAGCGUAAGGGAGUUCACCCCUGUUAAUCACUCCGUUAUGUGCCUCCACUACUGUGUCCUGGGAGGUGUAUCCCUGUGAGGAAGGAGUGUAUCCAGUGGUUGUGAGGUCCAGUGGGAGUUGGGAGCUGAGUAAGUUAUCAGCUCUAUUUAAUUUCCCUGCCAGCAGAUAGAGUAAUGCAUCCACUAUAUGCCCACAGCAGGGAACAGUCCAUUCAUAAUCCUCCAGACGUACAAUAAAACUGUUAUUCAACAUGUCAAUUGUAUAGAACAGAAUAGAGCAAACUGCCAGCAGACAUGAGUACUGCAUCCACUAUAUGCACACAGCAGGGAUCAGUCCUACAUAUUCAUGCAGAGUUACAUAUAAAACUUUUAUUUCACAUGCCAAUGAAAUCUGACAGUAUAGAGCUCAGCAGUGAACA
rnacentral:lncRNA from 1 species